CGCGACCCCAGGUCAGGCGGGGCGUACCCGCUUGAGUUUAAGCAUAUCAAUAAGCGGAGGAAAA
rnacentral:rRNA from 1 species